ensembl:lncRNA
GGAACCCACCUGCACAUUGAUUGCAGGGUGGCGCUAGCCUGUAUAAAGCUAAGCCGAUGUCUUGUUGGAUUAAUUCCUCCCGAGCUUCUGGUACGAUACAGCAGUAAAUGCUGGCGUACUGUGACGGAUUGAUCAGCAAGAGCCGAUUAUACGACAGCUACAGCGCAGCAGUCUGUUUAAUUCUGCCAUUGCGGAGAGAGGUGUUCGUGGUAUCUCCACCAAUGAGAGUAUAGUGCCUCCGGUCCUGGGGAGGACGAGCCAGUGGCCCUGGGACCUCAGGUGGUGGGUCGUUUUCACACUUUCUUUUGUACAGCACUGGGUGGUCUGCAGUGAUUCUUUUGGUGUGAUUUUCUUUUGGUUCCACGGCUGCUGCUGCUCCCUCCAGGGGUGCACAGAGCGGGUCAUCUGCCCAGAUCUCAACCUAUCGCUGUCACACCAACACUCUCGACUGCAUCCAUGAACUUCCUGUGGUUUCCAUCUUUUCCUCCUGCACUGCAGCUCCAUCCACAGUAUCCUUUGUCCAAAAUAUUCAUGAUCCGUCCUCUACACGUCCAAACCAGCUGAGUCUCCCCUUUCUUUGUUUUUAAUACAGCUUUCCAAAUUUUGACAUUUUAUCUUUAUAUAUUCAUUCAGAGGAUGAUGGUUUAUAAUCCUUACAGAGGUGCCUGCUACAUCUGACGUCACCUGUAUUUAUCAUUGUGAGGGAAGCCAAGCCUGCGACGGUGUGAGGACAGCAGAGCAGGAACUGAAAACUGAGCCCAUCUCUGGAUGAAUGAAAACAGCAGUGCAUCACUUCCUGUACCUACAUGCAGGCUGUGCUUUAAGAACCCCGAAACUAGGAGUACCGGUAUAUGAACAGUGCAGCCCUGCUGUGUGUUUACUCUGCUGAUGCAUGAAGUAGAACUAGCUACACCUGGAAGAUUAUUACAGUUAACCAGUUUGCCACUUUAACAGCAGUUAACUGGAAUAACAGACUAAACUGGUUCUGUGUAAAUACUGGAAAUGUCUUUGGCUUCUCAUUUUAUUUGCUUCUGUUUUCUGAUCCUAAUAAAAUGUUAUUUUAUUCAUA